CCCGCUCUGUGUUCAGAGUUAUUUAGAGUUCAAGUAAAUGUGAAACCCUCAGAUGCAACCUACCAGUUAUUGUCUUUUGAUUUCCCUAUUUGUAAGCAAGAUAAAUAAUUCUACCGCUCAGCACUUUAUAUAUACAUACAAUUAAAUUUUAAGGGACACAUUAUGUCUAAUACAAAUACUGGUACAGUAAAAUGGUUUAACGAAGAGAAAGGUUUCGGCUUCAUUUCUCAAGACAACGGCGACGCUGACGUAUUUGUACACUUCCGUGCAAUCGCAUCAGAAGGUUUCAAAACACUGAAAGAAGGCCAAAAGGUUUCUUUCAAUGUUGAAAACGGUCAAAAAGGCCUACAAGCUGCGAACGUAAUCGCACUUUAAUUCUUUAUCGAAUUAAACUGAAUUAUAUGAAUAGACGCUAGCUUCUAGCGUCUAUUUUC
rnacentral:sRNA from 1 species